UGUGUUCUAUAGAUGGAACAACAAAGCACUGAUGACAGCACGUAUCUGUUUACAGCAUGGUUUGCUGACCGUUUUGCUCACUGUUGAGACCUACUGCUCAGAAAAGAAAAAUAUUCCUUUCAAAAUAUUGCUGCUCAUUGACAAUGCACCUGGUCACUCAAGAGCUCUGAUGAAAAUAAACAAAGUGAUUCAUAUUGUUUUCAUGCCUUGUAACACAAUACCCAUUCUGCAGCCUAGGAAUCCAGGCAUAAUUUUGACUUUCAGGUCUUAUUAUUUAAGAAAUAUAAAAUAUCAGCAUUAACAGAAUUUGAAAGAAAUUGAUUACAACCCUAAUGGACGACUUCGAGAGACUCAAGACUUGAGUGGGGAAAGUAACUGCAGAUGUCAUGGAAAUGGCAAGAGAACUAGAAUUUAAUCUAUACUCGAGGGAUGGGUUGGUUAGCUUUCAAAUUGUCCUAAUCAAAAAUCCAUACUUCAGAUGUUGAUACUUCCAAAAUAUUGUUUUCAAAAUCUAUACCAGAGGAUUUUACUUAAAUUAUCCUAAAAUAUAUGUUAGAAAUUAACCUCAUAGUUUUGUAUUGGUAUAAUGACUAGUGUUUAAAAUAUGUUAUUGAGAUCCACCAUACAGCAUGGUGACAAUAGUUACUAAAAAUCUAUUUUAUUAUUGAAAAAAUGUUAAGAGCAGAUGUUGUGUUCUCACCCCCAAAAAUGGUAAAUCCUCAUAAAAUGCAUAUAUAAUUAGCUAAAUCUAACCUAUCACAAUGUAUUCAUACUUCAAAUUAUGAUAUACAUAAUAAAUACAUGUUAUUUUUUCUGUUAAUUUAACAAUAAAUUUGAUAAAAAGCAAAAAAUGGUUUUUAAACUUUUUUAAAUAUACGUUUUUGGCUAGAAAAACUGUCCAGGACCCACCACACUUGUCUUAUUCAGGUUAAAGAUCCUGGCAAGUCUAACCACGUUAUAUCUUUAUAAUAUUGCUUCUGCUUCCCUGCACUUCUGAAAGAACUCUGUCAGCUAAUUAAACCUUAUAUUAUGUAUGUACAUAGUUUAUGUAACUACUAUGUAUCCAAGGCUAUG
rnacentral:lncRNA from 1 species